AGAGUUUGAUUCUGGCUCAGGAUGAACGCUAGCGACAGGCUUAACACAUGCAAGUCGAGGGGCAGCAUGGGGGUAGCGAUACCUCUGAUGGCGACCGGCGCACUGGUGAGUAACACGUAUGCAACCUGCCCCUGGUUGGGGGAUAACCCGCGGAAACGCGGCCUAAUACCCCGUAUGCAUGGACACCGCAUGGUGUCCAUGUGAUAGAGUUUCGUCCAGGGAUGGGCAUGCGGCGCAUUAGCUAGUUGGCGGGGUGACGGCCCACCAAGGCGACGAUGCGUAGGGGUUCUGAGAGGAAGGUCCCCCACACUGGUACUGAGACACGGACCAGACUCCUACGGGAGGCAGCAGUGAGGAAUAUUGGUCAAUGGGCGGGAGCCUGAACCAGCCAAGUCGCGUGGGGGAUGACGGCCCUUGUGGUUGUAAACCCCUUUUGUCGGGGAGUAACCGGCGCCACGUGUGGCGUCCUGAGAGUACCCGUCGAAUAAGCAUCGGCUAACUCCGUGCCAGCAGCCGCGGUAAUACGGAGGAUGCGAGCGUUAUCCGGAUUUAUUGGGUUUAAAGGGUGCGCAGGCGGCGCUUCAAGUCAGCGGUAAAAUUUCGGGGCUCAACCCCGUCGUGCCGUUGAGACUGUCGCGCUGGAGUGCGCCGGACGGUGGCGGAAUGCGCGGUGUAGCGGUGAAAUGCAUAGAUAUCACGCAGAACUCCGAUUGCGAAGGCAGCUGCCGACGGUGUUACUGACGCUCAUGCACGAAAGCGUGGGUAUCGAACAGGAUUAGAUACCCUGGUAGUCCACGCAGUAAACGAUGAUGACUAGCUGUUCGGUCCCGAUAGUGGUCUGUGCGGCACAGCGAAAGCGUUAAGUCAUCCACCCUGGGGGAGUACGCCGGCAACGGUGAAACUCAAAGGAAUUGACGGGGGCCCGCACAAGCGGAGGAACAUGUGGUUUAAUUCGAUGAUACGCGAGGAACCUUACCCGGGCUCAAACGGUUCAGGACCGGCGCUGAGAGGCGCCUUCCCUUCGGGGCCUGUUCCGAGGUGCUGCAUGGUUGUCGUCAGCUCGUGCCGUGAGGUGUCGGCUUAAGUGCCAUAACGAGCGCAACCCCCAUCCCCAUUUGCCACCGCGUGAUGGCGGGCACUCUGGGGAGACUGCCGGCGCAAGCUGUGAGGAGGGCGGGGAUGACGUCAAAUCAGCACGGCCCUUACGUCCGGGGCUACACACGUGUUACAAUGGCGGGUCACAGCGGGAAGCCAGCCGGCGACGGCGCGCUGAUCCCCAAACCCCGUCCCAGUUCGGAUCGGAGUCUGCAACCCGACUCCGUGAAGCUGGAUUCGCUAGUAAUCGCGCAUCAGCCAUGGCGCGGUGAAUACGUUCCCGGGCCUUGUACACACCGCCCGUCAAGCCAUGGGAGCUUGGAGUGCCUGAAGUCCGUGACCGCGAGGAGCGGCCAAGGGUAAGACAAGUGACUGGGGCUAAGUCGUAACAAGGUAGCCAAGGGCGAAUCCACAUUGGGCUGCAGCCCGGGGGAUCCACUAGUUCUAGAGCGGCCGCACCGCGGGAG
rnacentral:rRNA from 1 species